rnacentral:lncRNA from 1 species
GGGAUAACUAGCUAAUUAUUUGGAAAAAAGAAACACAUAUAGAAAUCAAAUUCCAGAUGGGUUUAUUUAAAUGGGAAAUUAAAUGUUCAAUGUGAAAAUUCAUUAUGUAGCAGGAUAUUCAAUGGGAAUGAUACUUUUCUGGUUUUUUUUUGCCAAUGGUGAGAGACCUGCCAGAACACAGCCUUGAUCUCGCAAGUCAUAUGGAGCAACAGGAAGACAGCCAUCUGCAAACCAGCAA